GCUGUGGUGGGAGGCAGUUGAGCCUUGGAUUGUGUCCGCAUCAGGGCAGUUGGUAGAUGCUCCUCUGGGAGAGAUUCCCAGGGGUAACAGCCAUGGAUGAAGGGCCUGGGCUAGGGACAGGGACCAGAGCCGGUCCAGGGAGAGGACAGAGCCAACAGACUGGGGCGCACUGUAACAGCCCUGCUGGCAAGAGGGACCUGGGCAAGGCCCUCCAGGGAGCCCACGCUGCAAGUCAGGCCACAAGGGCCUCCGACCCUGAGGGCCGAUGAGGCCAGGGACAGGCCAGCCGGGCCGUGAGGCCCCUGGUGAGCCAGGCCCCAACCUCAGGCAGCGCUGGCCCCUGCUGCUGCUGGGUCUGGCCAUGGUCGCCCAUGGCCUGCUGCGCCCAAUGGCUGCACCGCAGAGCAGGGACCCAGACCCUGGAGCCUCAGUUGGAAGCAGCCGAUCCAGCCUACAGAGCCUGUGGGGCAGGUCAGCCCAAGGCUGCCCCCUCGGUCACUCUGUUCCCACCCUCCUCUGAGGAGCUCCAAGCCAACAAGGCCACACUAGUGUGUCUGAUCAGUGACUUCUACCCGGGAGCCGUGAAAGUGGCCUGGAAGGCAGAUGGCAGCCCCGUCAACACGGGAGUGGAGACCACCACGCCCUCCAAACAGAGCAACAACAAGUACGCGGCCAGCAGCUACCUGAGCCUGACAUCCGACCAGUGGAAGUCCCACAAGAGCUACAGCUGCCAGGUCACGCACGAAGGGAGCACCGUGGAGAAGACAGUGGCCCCUGCAGAAUGUUCAUAGGUUCCCACCCCUCACCCUACCCACGGGGGCCUGGAGCUGCAGGAUCCCAGGGGAGGGGUCUCUCUCUCUCCAUCACAAGGCAUCCAGCCCUUCUCCCUGCACUCAAUAAACCCUCAAUAAAUAUUCUCAUUGACAAUCAGAAAUCUUGUUUCAUCUCAUUUUUUCUUAAAUUCCUAGCCUUCCCGUGGAUCUCAGUGUGGGGUACAGGGAAUUCUGCAUCUAGUGUCAAAGUUACCCAAGGGGAGGAGGCUCACAGCCUCCCCGAGUCAUCUCCCCAAAGGGUCCUUCCUCGCCCAGUCACCCCUCCCCCAACUCUCCACUGUACCCCUGAGCCACCAGCCUGACAUCAGUUCAGACCAGUCCCACACCUUCCUCAAUUUUACUUCUCAACAAAGACCUGAUCAUGUAAAACCCA